rnacentral:rRNA from 1 species
GAGUUUGAUCCUGGCUCAGGAUGAACGCUGGCGGCGUGCUUAACACAUGCAAGUCGAUCGAACCUUCGGGUUAGUGGCGGACGGGUGAGUAACGCGUGAGAAUCUGCCCUCAGGAGGGGGGAUAACGGUUGGAAACGACCGCUAAUACCCCAUAUGCCGCGAGGUGAAAUGAAUUUCGCCUGAGGAUGAGCUCGCGUCUGAUUAGUUAGUUGGUGGGGUAAAGGCCUACCAAGACAUCGAUCAGUAGCUGGUCUGAGAGGAUGAUCAGCCACACUGGGACUGAGACACGGCCCAGACUCCUACGGGAGGCAGCAGUGGGGAAUUUUCCGCAAUGGGCGAAAGCCUGACGGAGCAACGCCGCGUGAGGGAUGAAGGCCUCUGGGCUGUAAACCUCUUUUAUCAAGGAAGAAGAUCUGACGGUACUUGAUGAAUAAGCCACGGCUAAUUCCGUGCCAGCAGCCGCGGUAAUACGGGAGUGGCAAGCGUUAUCCGGAAUUAUUGGGCGUAAAGCGUCCGCAGGCGGUCUGUCAAGUCUGCUGUUAAAGCGUGGAGCUUAACUCCAUUUCGGCAGUGGAAACUGACAGACUAGAGUGUGGUAGGGGCAGAGGGAAUUCCCGGUGUAGCGGUGAAAUGCGUAGAUAUCGGGAAGAACACCAGUGGCGAAGGCGCUCUGCUGGGCCAUAACUGACGCUCAUGGACGAAAGCCAGGGGAGCGAAAGGGAUUAGAUACCCCUGUAGUCCUGGCCGUAAACGAUGAACACUAGGUGUCGGGGGAAUCGACCCCCUCGGUGUCGUAGCCAACGCGUUAAGUGUUCCGCCUGGGGAGUACGCACGCAAGUGUGAAACUCAAAGGAAUUGACGGGGGCCCGCACAAGCGGUGGAGUAUGUGGUUUAAUUCGAUGCAACGCGAAGAACCUUACCAGGG